rnacentral:tRNA from 1 species
GCGUUGGUGGUAUAGCGGUGAGCAUAGCUGCCUUCUGAGCACUUGCCCCAGGUUCGAUUCCUGGCCAACACA